AGAGGACUUGUUGGAUAAAUAAAUUUGGGAGUCAUCAAUCAUAGAUGGUAUUAAAAUAAUGUGGCUGGAUGAGAUCACUUAUAAGCUGUGUAGGUAGGAAAGAAACAAAGGACUAAGACAGAACCUGAGGAACUACAACAUUUAGAGAUUAAGCAAAAAAGUAAGGCAAUACAAAGAAAAAUUAAAAGCAGAAGCUCAGAAAAUGAGAGGAAAAUCAGGACUGGUGUCAUAAAAGCCCUAAAGGAAAUAGUCUUUUGAGGAAGAGGUGGCCAAAGAGGACAAACCCUACUGGGAGUAACAUGCAGCCGAGGACCCACUGGAUUUGGCAGGAGAGAAGACCACUGACAAACUUGUUAAGGGAAGUUCCAUCAAGGAGAGAAAUCUAGAAGUGGAAUUGCUGAGCUGUAGAGUAUGUGAAUCUCUACAACUUUCAACUUUACCAUGUAUUGUCAAAUUGCUCUCCAAAGUGAUGGUACCAAUUAAUGAUACUACCAAUAAGGGCUCUGGAGUUGCUACUGUUCAAGAUUUGCUGUGCCUGAAACCCACACUUAAGAAACUUCAUUUACAUACAGACCUGAAGAACAUCAUAAAAUUCUGGACUUUGAACUUGAUGCCAUAAUCUAUGAGAUAACAAACCUCCAAAAUGGCCUCCUAUGGAGUUUUAUAGUGUCCUCCCAUACUGAAUAGGGCUGGCCUUGGUAGUUAACGAACUACUAGAGAAAAAACUAUGUCUGUCUUUCAAAGCAAGGCCACAAAUGACACUUUAGAUUUUUCUUUGCUCUCUGUCAUAUCACUCACUCUGGGAAAGCCAACUUCCAACCUUACAGGGAGGUCGACUUAGAGAGGAAUGGAAGUGUCUUGUCCACAACCACGUGAGUGAGCCUUCUGGAUAGUGGGUCCUCCAGUCCUAUUCAAGCCUUCACAUGGGACAUUUUGACUGAAACUUCGUGGCUGACAUUUUGACUGAAACUUUGUGGGACACCCUAAGAGAGAAGCACUCACCUCCUGAAUUUUUGACUAACAGAACAGUGAAAGAUAAUACAUGGUUAUUGUUCAAUUUUAACAAGGGCAGCUACAUUUUGGAAUUAUUUGUUAUGAAGCAAUAGGUAACUGAAAUAAUUGGGAUUAGACUUUUGGAGGUCUUAGUUUGGAUGUGAGAGUAUUUUACAUGUGGGAGGAAUAUGAAUAAUUUGUGGCAAGAGGGCAGAAUCUAUAGAUUGUUUAAUGGCCACAAAUUCCUCUCCUCCCAGUAUGCAUGCAUGCUCCCUUUUCAAUGUAACAUUUCUGGCUCUCCCAUCCAGAGAUGGACCUUUGUUUUAAAAAAGCAUGUUAUUGAGGCUGGGUGUGGUGGCUCACACCUGUAAUCCUAGCACUUUGGGAGGCCUAGGCAGAUGGAUCACUUGAGGUCAGGAGUUCAAGAGCAGCCUGGCCAACAUGGUGAAACCCCGUCUCUACUAAAAAUACAAAAAUUAGGCAGGUGUGGUGGCAGGCGCCUGUAAUCCCUGCUAUUCAGGAGGCUGAGGUGGGAGAAUCACUUGAACCCAGGAGGCAGAGGUUGCAGUGAGCCGAGACUGUGCCAUUGCACUCCAGCCUGGGCAACAGGGCUAGACUCUGUCUCAAAAAAAAAAAGAAAAAUUAUUGAAUCUGGACAUCCUAGUGAAUCACUUUUCUAAAUAGAAUUGGCAGAAGUAAAUUUAUGUGACUUCUGAAACUAAGCCUUGCAAGGCCUUGCUGCUUCUUCCUUUGUCCUCUUGGAUGGCUGCCCUGAGAAGGCAUCUAGGAAAGUCAGUCCAGUCACCUAGAAGGUGAGAGGCCACAUGGAGAAGAACUCAGGCACCCCAACUGAUAGCCAAUAGCCUCUCCCAGACUUGUGAAUGACGCCAACUUCCAGCCCAGGCAGAUCUUUAGCUGAGUGUGGCUAUGCAAGCAAGCCUUGGCACAUUUGCCAGAGGAACCUUCAAGCCAACCUACACAAUUAGUUGCUAUUGUUAUGGGGUUGUAAGUUAAGCAGCAAAAGACAAAACAAACUUUAUUGUAACAAUUUAUAUAAAGUAUAGUCUUGAACUUGUUGUUUCUCAAUAAUAUCAAAAGCUUUAUUUCAAGAAAUUAUUGUUGAUGACAUCUUGGAAUAUUGUAGAAUAAUGGCCCUUAUGUUCUAUGUAGACACAACUUAAAACAGAAUUACUGGCCCUUUUUUUUUGUGGAAUCAGCCGCAUGCCCUGUGUACUUGCUCCAUAUUGUCUAUCCAAUACAAAAAACACA
rnacentral:lncRNA from 1 species